UUCAGGAUGGAAGCAAUAUGUUUAAAAAAAUAAUCUGUCUGAUUAUUUGCUACUUAUGUGAUACAAGUUAUUUUUUCUGUCGCCUGUCUGGCUGUUUUGGCUCAUGAGGAAAAACAUGCUCCAGCCCAUUAUAAAUUCGACUAUGGUGUACAUGAUCCACAUACUCAUGAUGUAAAAUCUCAAUGGGAACAUAGAGAUGGG